ensembl:lncRNA
UUUGAUUGCAUGAUUUUUUUUCUCUUUCAGAAAUAUGAGAAAGAGUAUGUGCAGUAUGAAGUGUGUAGAAACUGAGGAAUACAAUAAAGAGAAGUGUGUGUGUGUGUGUGUGAGAAGUGCUGUGGGUGUGUGUAUAUCCGAGAGUGAUGGAAAGAGAGGUGUUAAAAUGUGGAUAGAAGAAUAAGAGAGGGAAAGUGUUAAUGAGCAGUGAUGAAAAUGAUAUUAAAUAGAUGUUUUAGUGUUUUUGUACAGGUGGCUACGGAACUGGAUCAACGUCCUCCACAAGCACAGCGGCCGGAGCAAAAUGAUAGAUUAACAUAAUUGGAACCACACCCAGCCGUGUUUUGGCUGAAUAUUACACAGCUUCACUCCAUGUACACCUUACACUGAAGAACAAGCUUCGAGGGCGAUCGAUCUCUCCCUGAAGACAAAAUGCAGUUCGAGAGCAACGGCGUCGACUUCAAGACUCGACAAUGUGAACACACAGCAACACUGCCCUGAACCUUAAAGGGUUCAGCAGCAUGUACAAAUACCAUGGAUGGAUGGAAGUAUGCGCUCCCAGCGUCAUCACUGUGUGUGAAUGGACUUGAGAAGACUGUCUGAGUUUCACAUUUGCCAUACUGGGAGCUGAAAUGGCAAAGGAAGAGACUGAAAAGAGUGAAAGACAAAAGACAAAGCUGAAGAAGAACAGCCCACUGGGCCCCUGACACGCCACAACUAUGAACUGCUGCAGAUGCAGGAGAGAGACAGAAGCUGUGAGAAGUGGGGAGAAGAGAGCAUGGAGUUAAAAUGAAGUCUGUUGUUGUUAAUGUGAGAACACAUGAAAAUUGGAAAACUGUGGCCAGGUGUCUUGUGGAGGUUGAUAAAGAGUCCGUAGGAUUGCAACAAAGUAGGGAGAUACAGGUGCAGUGGCCAGAGUAUUGCUGGAAGAAAUCAUCCCAAGGGUGGAAUCUCCAGACUGAGAUUGAGACUGGGUGCUGAUCAGAAGUCUUCAGAGACCCAGCGAGAACUAGGAAACACUCAUGGCAUAGCUGACAGCCCAGACAGUGGUUGAGGUCAAAGGUCGUGCGGUUUGUGGCCCUACUAGUCAUUAUGAGAAGAUUCCAGAACCACAGCAAUAACCAUAAAGCUGCAUUGGAACGAGAGGG